UAUCAAAAACAACCCUUCUCAUGCUUCACACCCCAAUCUGAAUCUCUAGUCCCACUCUGUCACCACCAGACACCCGACCAUCUACUAGAUGCACCACCCCAUUAGAAAUCCCACCCCCUCAGAAGCUCCGUUCAAACACCCUCACCCAAAGCCAAAGGCUCCAUCACAUUCCUAACAAACCCGUCGUCGACGAGAACAGGCACGAGAGGUCGUUCGUGACUAGCUUCUGCAACGUCAACAACGACACUAGUGACCCGUUGGCGACCCCAAUUCAAAGUCGUAGCAAUCGUGAGCAUACAAGGCUAUCGUACAAGGCAUGGACUCGCGAACAAGGGUUGUUGGUGUGUUGUUAUUCCUAUUCAAAAACCUUGGUUUGGGAAGAGGGUGAGCUGAAGGGCUAGCACCGAGGCUUGUUCGUGCGAUCUGAAAAAAGAACCAACAGAGUUCUUAUUUUGUUUCAAUAAUUUGUUAUCUGUUUUUAUUUUUUUCAUUGUUGUAGGCACUAUUGUUGAAGAGAUUUGAUUUUUGUCUUCCUUUUAGAAUUAAUAGGUUUUUUGUACUGAUUUGAGUUAUUAUGCUUAACUUUUCAUUUAUUUGUGUAAAAUUUUAAAAUGGGUUUUGUAA
rnacentral:lncRNA from 1 species